rnacentral:lncRNA from 1 species
AUAAAAGACUGAUUAAAUAACAAAAAAAAUUUCUAUUGAAAAUAGAUUUGGUUCCAAAGCUCUCAGAACUAAGAUAAAUGGACUAUAGCAGAGGUGUCAGAAACUCUGCUUUGGCUGCUCCCAAGUGUGGUUGAACCAUUAGGAUAUAAUUGAGAAAUACUUUGAAAAAUGUAUUAAAAACCUUCUAGAAUAUAGAUAAUAUUAAUAUGUAAUUUUCUCACUCUAUAGGGAUACUAAUGUGCUGUUUAGAGUCCUUGUUUCUACUGAAGUGUGACACCAAUGGACUAAAUGGCAUUUCAAGGCUACUAUAAGUCAAGAAUACCUGACUGGGAUAAAGUUCUGACUCUGGCAAAUACUAUGUGACAAAAGGAAAGAGCCACCGAACUGCUCAGGGGUUCCAGCUACUACUACUUACUAAAAUGGUUCUAUUUAAAGAACCAAAAAACCUCUAGAAUGGUGGUGUUCAUUGGACAAAGCUCCAGGUCAUUUGAUUUAUGCAGGCGUUUCCAUCUGUAUCAAUUGGAAUGAAGUAAAAAAAGAAGAAGAAAGAGACGAGUUCCAGGCAUAAUAAAGAAAUAUGAAAUGUAGACUGGCA